CCACGGGUGGCAGCAGUGGGGAAUAUUGGACAAUGGGGGCAACCCUGAUCCAGCCAUGCCGCGUGUGUGAAGAAGGCCCUCGGGUUGUAAAGCACUUUCAGUGAGGAAGAACGCCUGGUGGUUAAUACCCAUCAGGAAAGACAUCACUCACAGAAGAAGCACCGGCUAACUCCGUGCCAGCAGCCGCGGUAAUACGGAGGGUGCGAGCGUUAAUCGGAAUUACUGGGCGUAAAGCGCGCGUAGGUGGCUUGAUAAGCCGGUUGUGAAAGCCCCGGGCUCAACCUGGGAACGGCAUCCGGAACUGUCAAGCUAGAGUGCAGGAGAGGAAGGUAGAAUUCCCGGUGUAGCGGUGAAAUGCGUAGAGAUCGGGAGGAAUACCAGUGGCGAAGGCGGCCUUCUGGACUGACACUGACACUGAGGUGCGAAAGCGUGGGUAGCAAACAGGAUUAGAUACCCCAGUAGUC
rnacentral:rRNA from 1 species